rnacentral:rRNA from 1 species
AAAAGCUCGUAGUUGGACUUCUGGCCUGGGCGACCGGUCGGCGCCCUCGUGGCGUGUGCACUGUCGUCGGCCCGGGUCAUCCUCGUGCGGAUCCGGCCUUCCAUUCAUUUGGCGGGUCGGGGAAGCGCGACGUUUACUGUGAAAAAAUUAGAGUGUUUAAAGCAGGCGAUCGCUGUGAAUACAUUAGCAUGGAAUAAUGAGAUAGGACUUUGGUACUAUUUUGUUGGUUUGCGCACCAAGGUAAUGAUUAAUAGGGAUAGUUGGGGGUAUUCAUAUUCAAUUGUCAGAGGUGAAAUUCUUGGAUUUAUGGAAGAUGAACUUAUGCGAAAGCAUUUACCAAGGAUGUUUUUAUUAAUCAAGAACGAAAGUUAGGGGAUCGAAGAUGAUUAGAUACCAUCGUAGUCUUAACCAUAAACUAUGCCGACUCGGGAUUGGGCGACGUUGCAUUGAUGACUCGCUCAGCACCGUAUGAGAAAUCAAAGUCUUUGGGUUCCGGGGGGAGUAUGGUCGCAAGGCUGAAACUUAAAGGAAUUGACGGAAGGGCACCACCAGGAGUGGAGCCUGCGGCUUAAUUUGACUCAACACGGGAAAACUUACCAGGUCCAGACAUGGUAAGGAUUGACAGAUUGAGAGCUCUUUCUUGAUUCUAUGGGUGGUGGUGCAUGG